rnacentral:rRNA from 1 species
UACGGAGGGUGCGAGCGUUGUCCGGAAUCACUGGGCGUAAAGGGCGCGUAGGCGGCUUGGCAAGUCAGUGGUGAAAGCCCGAGGCUCAACUUCGGGUCGGCCACUGAUACUGCUAGGCUUGAGUCGACUAGAGGCAGAUGGAAUUCCGGGUGUAGCGGUGGAAUGCGUAGAGAUCCGGAAGAACACCGGUGGCGAAGGCGGUCUGCUGGGGUCGAACUGACGCUGAGGCGCGACAGCGUGGGGAG